rnacentral:rRNA from 1 species
AUUGAACGCUGGCGGCAGGCCUAACACAUGCCAGUCGAACGGUAACAGGAAGCAGCUUGCUGCUUCGCUGACGAGUGGCGGACGGGUGAGUAAUGUCUGGGAAGCUGCCUGAUGGAGGGGGAUAACUACUGGAAACGGUAGCUAAUACCGCAUAAUGUCGCAAGACCAAAGAGGGGGACCUUCGGGCCUCUUGCCAUCGGAUGUGCCCAGAUGGGAUUAGCUUGUUGGUGGGGUAACGGCUCACCAAGGCGACGAUCCCUAGCUGGUCUGAGAGGAUGACCAGCCACACUGGAACUGAGACACGGUCCAGACUCCUACGGGAGGCAGCAGUGGGGAAUAUUGCACAAUGGGCGCAAGCCUGAUGCAGCCAUGCCGGGUGGAUGAAGAAGGCCUUCGGGUUGUAAAGUACUUUCAGCGGGGAGGAAGGGAGUAAAGUUAAUACCUUUGCUCAUUGACGUUACCCGCAGAAGAAGCACCGGCUAACUCCGU